rnacentral:sRNA from 1 species
AAACUUCGGGCGGCGGCUGAGGCGGCGGCCGAGGAGCGGCGGACUCGGGGCGCGGGGAGUCGAGGCAUUUGCGCCUGGGCUUCGGAGCGUAGCGCCAGGGCCUGAGCCUUUGAAGCAGGAGGAGGGGAGGAGAGAGUGGGGCUCCUCUAUCGGGACCCCCUCCCCAUGUGGAUCUGCCCAGGCGGCGGCGGCGGCGGAGGAGGCGACCGAGAAGAUGCCCGCCCUGCGCCCCGCUCUGCCGUGGGCGCUGCUGGCGCUCUGGCUGUGCUGCGCGGCCCCCGCGCGUGAUGUCCAGAAGGCUUCUUGGGAGAAUAUUGUCAACAUCGAGACCCCUGUGAGAAGAACCGCUGCCAGAAUGGUGGGACUUGUGUGGCCCAGGCCAUGCUGGGGAAAGCCACGUGCCGAUGUGCCUCAGGGUUCACGGGAGAGGACUGCCAGUACUCGACAUCUCAUCCAUGCUUUGUGUCUCGACCCUGCCUGAAUGGUGGCACAUGCCAUAUGCUCAGUCGGGAUACCUAUGAGUGCACCUGUCAAGUCGGGUUUACAGGUAAGGAGUGCCAAUGGACCGAUGCCUGCCUGUCUCAUCCCUGUGCAAAUGGAAGUACCUGUACCACUGUGGCCAACCAGUUCUCCUGCAAAUGCCUCCCAGGCUUCACAGGGCAGAAGUGUGAGACUGAUGUCAAUGAGUGUGACAUUCCAGGACACUGCCAGCAUGGUGGCACCUGCCUCAACCUGCCUGGUUCCUACCAGUGCCAGUGCCCUCAGGGCUUCACAGGCCAGUACUGUGACAGCCUGUAUGUGCCCUGUGCACCCUCGCCUUGUGUCAACGGAGGCACCUGUCGGCAGACUGGUGACUUCACUUUUGAAUGCAGCUGCCUUCCAGGUUUUGAAGGGAGCACCUGUGAGAGAAAUAUUGAUGACUGCCCUAACCACAGGUGUCAGAAUGGAGGGGUUUGUGUGGAUGGGGUCAACACUUACAACUGCCGCUGCCCCCCACAAUGGACAGGACAGUUCUGCACAGAGGAUGUGGAUGAAUGCCUGCUGCAGCCCAAUGCCUGUCAGAAUGGGGGCACCUGUGCCAACCGCAAUGGAGGCUAUGGCUGUGUGUGUGUCAACGGCUGGAGUGGAGAUGACUGCAGUGAGAACAUUGAUGAUUGUGCCUUCGCCUCCUGUACUCCAGGCUCCACCUGCAUCGACCGUGUGGCCUCCUUCUCUUGCAUGUGCCCAGAGGGGAAGGCAGGUCUCCUGUGUCAUCUGGAUGAUGCAUGCAUCAGCAAUCCUUGCCACAAGGGGGCACUGUGUGACACCAACCCCCUAAAUGGGCAAUAUAUUUGCACCUGCCCACAAGGCUACAAAGGGGCUGACUGCACAGAAGAUGUGGAUGAAUGUGCCAUGGCCAAUAGCAAUCCUUGUGAGCAUGCAGGAAAAUGUGUGAACACGGAUGGCGCCUUCCACUGUGAGUGUCUGAAGGGUUAUGCAGGACCUCGUUGUGAGAUGGACAUCAAUGAGUGCCAUUCAGACCCCUGCCAGAAUGAUGCUACCUGUCUGGAUAAGAUUGGAGGCUUCACAUGUCUGUGCAUGCCAGGUUUCAAAGGUGUGCAUUGUGAAUUAGAAAUAAAUGAAUGUCAGAGCAACCCUUGUGUGAACAAUGGGCAGUGUGUGGAUAAAGUCAAUCGUUUCCAGUGCCUGUGUCCUCCUGGUUUUACUGGGCCAGUUUGCCAGAUUGAUAUUGAUGACUGUUCCAGUACUCCGUGUCUGAAUGGGGCAAAGUGUAUCGAUCACCCGAAUGGCUAUGAAUGCCAGUGUGCCACAGGUUUCACUGGUGUGUUGUGUGAGGAGAACAUUGACAACUGUGACCCCGAUCCUUGCCACCAUGGUCAAUGUCAGGAUGGUAUUGAUUCCUACACCUGCAUCUGCAAUCCCGGGUACAUGGGCGCCAUCUGCAGUGACCAGAUUGAUGAAUGUUACAGCAGCCCUUGCCUGAACGAUGGUCGCUGCAUUGACCUGGUCAAUGGCUACCAGUGCAACUGCCAGCCGGGCACGUCAGGGGUUAAUUGUGAAAUUAAUUUUGAUGACUGUGCAAGUAACCCUUGUAUCCAUGGAAUCUGUAUGGAUGGCAUUAAUCGCUACAGUUGUGUCUGCUCACCAGGAUUCACAGGGCAGAGAUGUAACAUUGACAUUGAUGAGUGUGCCUCCAAUCCCUGUCGCAAGGGUGCAACAUGUAUCAAUGGUGUGAAUGGUUUCCGCUGUAUAUGCCCCGAGGGACCCCAUCACCCCAGCUGCUACUCACAGGUGAACGAAUGCCUGAGCAAUCCCUGCAUCCAUGGAAACUGUACUGGAGGUCUCAGUGGAUAUAAGUGUCUCUGUGAUGCAGGCUGGAUUGGCAUCAACUGUGAAGUGGACAAAAAUGAAUGCCUUUCGAAUCCAUGCCAGAAUGGAGGAACUUGUGACAAUCUGGUGAAUGGAUACAGGUGUACUUGCAAGAAGGGCUUUAAAGGCUAUAACUGCCAGGUGAAUAUUGAUGAAUGUGCCUCAAAUCCAUGCCUGAACCAAGGAACCUGCUUUGAUGACAUAAGUGGCUACACUUGCCACUGUGUGCUGCCAUACACAGGUGGGUCCUGGAGGUACCAGCAGGGACCAGAGGGGAUACUUGGCCUUGCUUUGUCAGUGCCUGAGUCUCAGUGCUCAGGUCUGUGGGGCUGCAAUGCUCCUCCGAGGGCUCACUCCUCAGUUGUCCUUCCUGCCCUUACUGACUGGAUCUUGAGCUUUGAGGAAACAUUGUGGCCUCCUAAGAUGCAAGUGGUGGACAGUCAUUUGCCUACAUUGUAUUUUAGUGUUUGAAAGAAAAUUUUUUUUAAUUGUAUGUGGCUGGAACCAGGCACAUAGAUGAUGGUUGUCUAUCAUUUGGACAUUAGCUAUUUGUCUUAGUUUCAGUAAUACAGCUACCACUUAUUGGUAAUUUGCAAUGUGCCAGACACUUUUUGUACUUUGGAUUAUUUAAUGUAUUCCUCAGUAAUUCUACAAUGUAGAAGUUCCUAUUGCCAUUUUACACAUGAGGAGGCUGAGGCAAAGGGAGCUUGCUUGCUCAAGGUCAUAUAGGUAAGUGGUACAUCUAGGAUUUAUUUACCUGUUAGGUCUCUUUGAAUCUGAAGCUUUUCCUCUUAAUGGCCUUUUUACUUCCCACAUUCAGUACCGCUACAUCUCACUCA